rnacentral:tRNA from 1 species
AGCCUUGAGGUGUUUCCCACAUAUGAGAUUGCAAAUCUCACACUGCAGGCUAACGCCUGCCGGGGCUU